rnacentral:rRNA from 1 species
UACGUAGGUGGCAAGCGUUGUCCGGAAUUAUUGGGCGUAAAGCGCGCGCAGGCGGUUUCUUAAGUCUGAUGUGAAAGCCCACGGCUCAACCGUGGAGGGUCAUUGGAAACUGGGAGACUUGAGUGCAGAAGAGAAGAGCGGAAUUCCACGUGUAGCGGUGAAAUGCGUAGAGAUGUGGAGGAACACCAGUGGCGAAGGCGGCUCUUUGGUCUGUAACUGACGCUGAGGCGCGAAAGCGUGGGGAGCGAACGGG